GGGGUGGAGCCUGGCUGCACCUCUCCUAGACUCCAAGUAAGGGCUGAGUGCCACUGGGGAAGGGUCUCUUCCUGGAGAUUGCUCCCUUUGGAGUUUUUAUGCGAGCCUAGGACAUGGAUGACACCAAGCUGGGAGAAAGUGUUGAUCUGCCUGAAGAGAAGAGGAGGCUGAGGCGGGGGGGAGGUCUGAUGGCAGCCUGAUGGCAGCUCCCUCAAUGUGAGCAGUGCUGACCUGUGCUUUCUGGUGACUGCUACAGAAGCCAAGGGAAUCGCUUGGAGCUGCCAGGGGAGGAUCAGAGCUAAGGAUGCAAGAGUCUGUCCUGCUCUGGGUCUGGCAGUUCCCUAAAGAGCCUAUGGCAAGGAUUCAUGGAGGAACAAGAUGGUAUCUCCUAGGUAAAGCCAAAAGCAGCAGGUCUUAUCCACCUCCCGCUGAAUGAGCGCUGCUUGGCUGGCAAAGUACUCGGACUCUGUCUCAGGCACAGGGCCAGGAGACACACUUUGUGGGCUGCCAGGACUGACCAUUAUUGCCCACCCUCCACCUCCUUGCCCCUCCACAUGCUUUGCAGGGCCCUGAGUCUGGUGAGAGACCAGCUACAGCCCCAGUGUCCUCAGAAUGCUCUGUCCAUGUAACACCUGCCAACUAACAGAAGUUACGUGAGAAGUUAUAAACUCAUUUACAUUGACAAGAUUUCAAGCUUGAGUAGGUUUCAAGCUGAGCCAGAAGGCAAUGGAAUCAUAUGCACUGAUGCCCACAGCUGCAGCCAGGCUUCUAGGUGAAUGCUGCAGGCCCUUCAGAGUUACCUUACAGAAAGCACACUGACACCAUUGGCAACUUCACGGGCAUGAACUGAGGCCCCCUGCAACACUAGAAUGCUGUCAGUGCAGCACAGCAAACAGCUGUGGAGCAGCAGUGUGACAGGCACAUAGUUGUGGUCGCCAGGCUCCCCAGCUGAAAUCAGAGCACAGCAAUGAUGUCACUGGUUCAGGCACUCGGACUAAAGUGAAACUUGCCAAUGCCAGAUCACAGGCCAAGUUUCUUCUAUGAAGAUGAACUCGCGAGAGAGAAAUUUGGUGUAAGGCCACACCACAGUGGCACAUGAGACAAGCAAGUCCACUCUCCCUGUGCUUGGUGGAGCAUUAAGUGAUGCUUUGGUUAUUGCUUGUGGUUUGUCUCUGGUCCAGAAGAGAUCGCUGCAUGUUCUCAUUACUUUGUGUAACAUUACAAGCUCUGAAGAACCUCAGUGGCUCUUUAUAACUUUACUUCCUCAAUCACUAAUAUCAGCUGGGCUGGGAGAAUUAAUUGAUCUGCAAUGACAGCUGCUGGCAUGCACACAAGGAAAUGCUCUGAGUUUCCAUAAGAAAAGCAUCAUGGCUGUACUUCGCAAGACAAGUUCCUACUGAGAUGCUCCAUUCUCACCAUCUGCUCAAGUAAGAGUUAACCAAUGCCCUCAGGUUCCUGAGUUGAAGAAUCUAAAAGCAAAAAGCUGCCUGUUGUGCAGAAAGGAGCCAGAAAUAAGCCACUAAAUAUAAACAGCAACUCACUUCAAUUCUGCCUGAACUGAAGCUCCCUGAGAUUAAGAGAUCUCUUCCUUUCCAUUCUCAGCAACCUUUGGAUCAUCAGCUGUUUGUGCAGGCAGUGUGACCAUAGCCCAGAAUAAACUGGGGCUCAGUAUGUGACUGCUUUAAUCUACCCAACAAUAAUCAGCUAAACUUCUUCAUGGCACCUAAUUAUGAAUCUCCAUCAUGAGGUUUUCUGUAUAUAAUGGUGAGGAUGUCAAAUAUAUUGCCAUACGUAAUAUUUUUUUUAAGAGUCCUGUGCAGCUUAUUCCAGUCUCUGUCUGUGCCCACUGACGAAUGCAAUCAUUUUCAGGUUUUAGAAUCCUUUCAGUAAAACAUGGCCUCUCUUCUCUCCGAGACUUGAAAAAUAGCAGAAACUGAGGGAAAAUAUGCUUUACUUGUUUGUCAGCAAAAUUUUGUCUAAAUUAAAUGGAAUUUCCCAGUUAUAGAAAACAUUUUACUCUUAAGAAAACUUGUUCCUGCUAAUAAACUUUCACUUAUUCUUUUGUAGAUUUUUUAUGUUUGUUUUUCUUCUAGGGGGAAAUGGUUUAAUUGCAGCUUAUGACACAUUUCAGCUGUCUGUAAAACACAUAUUAUAUUUGCUCAGUCUUCCUGAACUGUUGUAAAAAUAAGAACUUCAUGCUGUAAAAAAUUCACACAGUGAAUUCCAUGCAGUGGAUUUUCCAGUUAUAUCUCCUGAAUGCUGUGACAAAAUUUAUUCCUGCUUAAUAUCACUGAUGGCAAUGACAGAGAUUGUGAUUUGUUUUGUGAUAAGAGCUCUUCUGCCUUUUUGGGGGCUUCUUUCAGUCCUUCAAGUUACUCUUUCUUGCAAUUAAAGUUUUUAUUUUAUUAUCUUUUGCUCUUGGUAAAGUGUUUCUAAAUCUACUCAUCAAAGCCACAAUAAAUACAAGAUGGGAGAAAUAUCGUA
ensembl:lncRNA